UACAUGGGGUGCAACCGUUGCUCGGAAUCAUUGGGCGUAAAGCGCGCGUAGGCGGUUACUUAAGUUGGAUGUGAAAGCCCUCGGCUUAACUGAGGAAGUGCAUCCAAAACUGAGUAGCUAGAGUACGAAAGAGGGUCGCGGAAUUCCCGGUGUAGAGGUGAAAUUCGUAGAUAUCGGGAGGAACACCGGUGGCGAAGGCGGCGAUCUGGGUCGAUACUGACGCUGAGGUGCGAAAGCGUGGGGAGCAAACAGG
rnacentral:rRNA from 1 species